rnacentral:rRNA from 1 species
AUUGAACGCUGGCGGCAGGCCUAACACAUGCAAGUCGAACGAGCGGCGGACGGGUGAGUAAUGUCUGGGAAACUGCCUGAUGGAGGGGGAUAACUACUGGAAACGGUAGCUAAUACCGCAUACCAUCGGAUGUGCCCAGAUGGGAUUAGCUAGUAGGUGGGGUAAAGGCUCACAUAGGCGACGAGCCCCAGCUGGUCUGAGAGGAUGACCGGCCACACGGGAACUGAGACACGGUCCAGACUCCUACGAGAGGCAGCAGUGGGGAAUAUUGCACAAUGGGCGAAAGCCUGAUGCAGCAAUGCCGCGUGAAUGAUGAAGGCCUUCGGGUUGUAAAGUACUUUCAGCGGGGAGGCGUUACCCGCAGAAGAAGCACCGGCUAACUCCGUGCCAGCAGCCGCGGUAAUAC